rnacentral:rRNA from 1 species
AGUCGAACGGUGAAGGUGGAGCUUGCUCCACCGGAUCAGUGGCGAACGGGUGAGUAACACGUGAGCAAUCUGCCCCUGACUCUGGGAUAAGCGCUGGAAACGGCGUCUAAUACCGGAUACGAACUGCGAAGGCAUCUUCAGCAGUUGGAAAGAAUUUCGGUCAGGGAUGAGCUCGCGGCCUAUCAGCUUGUUGGUGAGGUAAUGGCUCACCAAGGCGUCGACGGGUAGCCGGCCUGAGAGGGUGACCGGCCACACUGGGACUGAGACACGGCCCAGACUCCUACGGGAGGCAGCAGUGGGGAAUAUUGCACAAUGGGGCGCAAGCACUGAUGCAGCAACGCCGCGGUGAGGGACGACGGCCUUCGGGUUGUAAACCUCUUUUAGCAGGGAAGAAGCGAAAGUGACGGUACCUGCAGAAAAAGCGCCGGCUAACUACGUGCCAGCAGCCGCGGUAAUACGUAGGGCGCAAGCGUUAUCCGGAAUUAUUGGGCGUAAAGAGCUCGUAGGCGGUUUGUCGCGUCUGCUGUGAAAUCCCGAGGCUCAACCUCGGGUCUGCAGUGGGUACGGGCAGACUAGAGUGCGGUAGGGGAGAUUGGAAUUCCUGGUGUAGCGGUGGAAUGCGCAGAUAUCAGGAGGAACACCGAUGGCGAAGGCAGAUCUCUGGGCCGUAACUGACGCUGAGGAGCGAAAGGGUGGGGAGCAAACAGGCUUAGAUACCCUGGUAGUCCACCCCGUAAACGUUGGGAACUAGUUGUGGGGUCCAUUCCACGGAUUCCGUGACGCAGCUAACGCAUUAAGUUCCCCGCCUGGGGAGUACGGCCGCAAGGGCUAAAACUCUAU